GAUGAAGAACGUAGCAAAAUGCGAUACUUGGUGUGAAUUGCAGAAUCCCGUGAACCAUCGAGUUUUUGAACGCAAGUUGCGCCCGAAGCCUUUUGGCCGAGGGCACGUCUGCCUGGGCGUCACGCAUCGCGUCGCCCCCCACAAUUCUCCGUAAAGGGAACAUGUGUUUUGGGGGCGGAUAUUGGUCUCCCGUGCUCAUGGCGUGGUUGGCCGAAAUAGGAGUCCUUUCGAUGGAUGCACGAACUAGUGGUGGUCGUAAAAACCCUCGUCUUUUGUUUCGUGCUGUUGCUCGCAAGGUAAACUCUUUAAAAACCCCAAUGUGUCGUCUCUUGACGACGCUUCGACCGCGACCCCAGGUCAGGCGGGACUACCCGCUGAGUUUAAGCAUAUCAAUAAGCGGAGGA
rnacentral:misc_RNA from 1 species